rnacentral:lncRNA from 1 species
GGGAACUUGAGUGACUGCCAUAAACUGGCCAAAGAGAAGCAGAUGGAUGAAAUUUAGUGUCUUCAGUCCAUGUUGCUGCUCUCAGUCGCUGUUUGUAAAGAAGAAAAGCAGGAGAGAAAGGGAGGAAAACAAGCAAGAGAGGAAACUGAAGCUUCAUGGAGUUCUUUACAUUAUACUGGAAUUCAGCCAGAGAUGGUAACUGAAGAGACAAGGACAACAACCCAGCUUUGGUCUGCACCCUUUAUCUGUAUGGGCACUGAAGGGUCACACACAUCACUGGCCUUCCCCUUGAACCACUCUGAAGACAUUCUGUUGGCCUUGGUUUGCUGAAUGUACAUGCUCG